GUUUCUGUGUGUUAAAUAACUUUGAUUCCUUCCUAAGGCCUCCCUGGGAAAUAGAGGUGCUAGUUGCUCCCAGCUGAGUUUAUCAGUCCUGCAAUAAACUCUGCUUUGUUCUUCUUUGUGCUACAAAGCCGUUGCUUUGAAGCUAUACAACGUGUCCUAUUCGACGCCGUGCCUGGAGCAGAAGAAUCUAGAGUGUAGAUAACAUGUGUCUAGAUAGUGAAUGUCAUUAGCGCUGCAACUAUGUGAUGAAUUGUUUUCCCCGCCCUUUGAGAGUUGCAGCGCCCAGUGUGAGAGGGUUCCUAAAAGCAAUAAAAGCGAGGAGGGGACAAAUGUGUUUCAGAGCGGUUGGAGAUUUGUAACUGAAAGCACAUCUCUGUCUGCUCUCCUCGCGAGAACAAAGAA